GGAACUUUAGGAAAAUCACUGUCAGCUGAGUGGAGGAUGGACUGAAAUCUGGGGAAAAACUUAAGGCAGGAAGACCAACCAAAAAGCUAUUGUAAUAUGCCAGGUGUGAGGUGAUUAGCCCCUGGAGCAAGGCACUGGCUGUGUGACUAAAGAGACCACUUAAAACAGAAACAUUGCAAAGAAUUGAAAAUAGAAUGGAUAUGUGGGGACAGAGAAGUAGAAGGCAGCAAACAUGGGUUCUCUAUAGCUCUCAAUCUGCAGACCAUGCUACAACAAUAAGCUAUGGUUGUUCUUCAAAAAGCAGGAAGAGUCAGCUCUCUUGCUCUCAUAGGGUAAUAAGCUCUCAGCAAAGCAGCAUCUCUGUACCAAUCAGCACAGCUCCCAAAAAAACAAGAACCUCACUAUAAGCCUCUCUGUUUUAUCUUUUGUAAAGAAUUUUCCUACUUGCCUUCCAGCCCCAACUUUUCCUGUACUCACAACUUCCUCCAUUUUUUUCUCUUUCUAUUAGUGUCUCCUCAUAAGCAAGGAUCCAUUUUUAAUUUAUGAUGGGAAAUUCAAAUGAUCUGCCUUUUUCUUAAGUAUGAACGUAUCAUCUCUAUAGAUAGUUAGAUAACUCAAGAGGUACACAAGAGAUCUAUGUAAAUAUAAAUAUUAGAGUGGUCCUGGUUCUCACUAAGAUGGCGACUCCCAUGCACCGACUUAUCACCUGGAGGCAGGCAGAAGCAAAUAAGCAACAUGUGAGAUGUCAGAAAUGUUUAUAAUUUGGACAUUGGACAUAUGAAUGCACAGGAAAAAGAAAAUACUUGCAUAGACCUUCAAGAACAGCAGAACUUAAGAAAGCUUUAAAAGAAAAAGAAAACAUUAUUAUUACAACAAAGCAUUGGAGAAACUAAUAUAGAAAAAAAGGCCAAGAAAAAAAGAUCUAAGAGUGUUACCAGUUCCAGCAGCAGUACCAGUGGAAAUUGUCAGUGACUUCAUCAGAGAGUGAAGACUCCUCUACCUCUUCUUCCUCUGAGAGUGAUACUGAGGAAACCUCUUCUACUUCAUCCUCAUCAACCUCCUCAACUAGUUCUUCCUCUUCGUCUGAUUCUGAGUCAGAUUUCAGCUCUUCCUCCAGCACCAACUCUACCACAGAUAGCAGCUCUGAUGAUGAGCCACCAAAGAAGAAGAAAAAGAAAUAGAAUCACUUUAAGCAUCUCUGAUCAUUUAGGACUGAUGAAUUGACAAAUGCUGAUGUAUUUCUCAAAAAGGAAGUUGCAAUAUAUCAAUGCUUUCUAAAUGUUUCACAUUUUAAGGGCAUAAAGAUUAUUAAUAACAAAGUAUGUAUAUAAAGAGUUUUUUAUUUUAAGGGGAAUUUUGUUUUAUUUUUAUCUUUAAAACAUAUCUUUAAAUUUAAUCAAAGCUGAAAUCCAGUAAAUCUGGUAUUUAUGUAAUGAAAUAUGUAAACUUUUUUUCUUUGUGACAUAAAUGCCAUACCUUGUUUAUAUGUUGGUAUUGUAUAAGCUAACACUUGUUUCACUUGUUUUCAGGAUGAUCCUGUAAAAUAAAUGGGAACAAUUAAUUUCUAAUGUUUUGCCU
ensembl:lncRNA